GGACUACACGGGUAUCUAAUCCCGUUUGCUCCCCUGGCUUUCGCGCCUCAGCGUCAGUAGAGGUCCAGCGCGUCGCUUUCGCCACCGGCGUUCCUUCCGAUAUCUACGCAUUUCACCGCUCCACCGGAAGUUCCACACGCCCCUACCUCCCUCGAGACGAUCAGUAUCCGGGGCACUUCCGCAGUUGAGCUGCGGGAUUUCACCCCGGACUCGAUCGCCCGCCUACGCGCCCUUUAAGCCCAGUGAUUCCGAACAACGUUCGCACGGUUCGUCUUACCGCGGCUGCUGGCAC
rnacentral:rRNA from 1 species